GCAACGAUUAGUGAGCUCGAUUAUUCGCACGAGACGCCCCCCUGCCGCACUCGGGUGGGCGGGGCCGACGAGUUGGAACGUCGCUGAAGAGGGUAAACGCACCACGGGUCAUGUGUAUGUCGGACACUUUAAAGAAUGAAUCUUGCAUCUCAACAAGAAAAAAAUGUUUCGUGAGGGUGACACCAUGGGAAAACCUUCACCGUGGCAACGCGCCGUCACGAUGUCGGCACGAGCUGGAGUAACGUUUAAACGUGAAUUAUCACGCGCGACGUGGAAGAGCGUUCCAUCGACAUUCGCCUAACUUGUGUCGGCUCGCAGCUACCGCAGCUAGCCACCGUGUCCUCCGCACACGAGCUACCGCCAGCUCCGUGUCUGACAACACGUUACACGACAACACAGACCUGUCGCUGGCGUCCUGGCUCCUCGCAGCUGCCGGGUGACAGACCCCGCUCGCAGUGAGUGCACCGCGGCUGCCCGGUCCUUCCUGAGUGGACAGCGGCUGGGCUGAGGGGGCGGGGCCUGGCCGGGCCCAGUUACCGUAAUAACCCGAGUAAACCGAGACAGCAUGUUAAUGUCCUUGUGUUUAUUCAUGGGAGAUGCCACACCGUCCUGCAACAGGCCCAAACAUGGUGCAUUAGGGUCCAUCUGAAAUUCACUGGACUGUGUGACCGCGUUUACCCCUCUGGACUCAAAACCAUCAACCCCAGUCAGAGAUUGUGUAUAUUGUAUGAAAUGUUUCUAACACAGACGAGAGUUGGGACCUAUAUUUGUCAAUUAUUUCAGUAAAGUCUUAUCAUUGUACUCUGCUGGUCUGUAAAGGUAGGGGCCUGUCGACAGUGCUGGGGUACUUGAUGUGAUCUGGCAUAUUUACAGAAAUCAGUGAUGCAAUCUGAUUGUUGAAAUUGCUGCCGUAAUGCUCGCAGAGAGCAUCCAAUUGCAUAAUUAAUGUUGUGCUGUAUCUGAGCUUUACAAGACAUGUACACGCAUCAUGUACACACACACACACACAUACACACACACACACACAAACAGUUACAUAACCUGGCACUGCACUGCAGUAGUUGGGCAGACAGAGAGCAGCACUACAGGCCCGGUGCUCAGGCCACUGACAAGAGGCCACUGUUACGUCACCCACUGACAGAGAUGAGGAACUUACAGACAUUCAGCUGAACAUGGAUUGAUCAUUCUUAUACUCUCUCAGAUCACCUCCAGCCUCUUCGCCUACCCCGCUGUGGUCUCCCCUCACUCGGAUCCCUCUGGCUCAUGUUCCCCCGGAUUCCUCCUUCAUCUGCCCACUGGAGCUCGAUCUCCUGUUGAUUUGUUUUCUGCAUUGUGGGUUCAGCUCUGUUGCUUUUAUUAGCGAAGCUUAACAGAAAAACAUUCAUUUCUGUUCUUAUGAAGAUGAUACCUAGCUGUAUUUAUCUAUAAAGCCAGAUGAAACGGCCCUCGGAGAAGCAUUAUCUGAAUGAAUAGUUACUAAUGCCUCCCAUACACUAGAUGACUUCGACAAGACACUGAAAACACUUUUAAAAGACUUCAGUCUGGUUCCCUCUCACAUCUUAAGUUUUUAUCUAGCCACCAGCAGCUUUUAGACACUAGGUGUCCUAGUGUGUGUGUGCAAUGGUCUGUACAGAAAAUAUAAGCCAACAAGAAAAAGAGAAGACGCCGCAGAAUGUGGAGACGACGGGAAUACAUGCUGCAACAUCGCAUGGAGAAUCCGGCGAAGCCUCUACCUGGUUGUGCUGUCCCCGUUCACGCAACCAGGUAGUUUCAUACCGCAGCAUUCGAGGCUUCGGCGGAGUCUCCAUGCGAUGUUGCAGCAUCCAUGCGAUGUUGCAGCAUGUAUUCCCCGACCCCACGCGCUUUUCUGCUUCCUGUUUGGUUCUGGAAAGAGCUCACCCAUUGGUUGUAGACAAUGUGCAUGUCACCAUCUGCGCGAGCGAAGACUAAAAACUUACGAUAAUAUCAAACAUGGUUGAUUUUAUUGGAACGUCAAGACGAGAUAAAAGCUGUCUAGUGUAUGGGAGGCAUUACUUGUUAAAUAAAUUUGCCUUUGGAAAGGCCAAGACAAGAAUAUGAAACUGAAAGGGGACAAAUGAGACAGGGCAUGGAAAAAUUAAAGUUGGACAUUAAGCUGCAAAAGUUGGAUUUGGUAAAACAAGGUAAUUGGUAAUUGUGGGAAGCGCGGCUGACAGCCUGUGCGAUGUAAAAGUGAAAAAUGCUUGACCCUCAACGGUAAUGUCAGAGAGGAGUACCCUGGUGUCGACGGGGGGGAUUUUGGCAUGUGUCAGCAUGAAAAGUUGCCAGUGUCAGCAGUAGCUGGGCCGAAAGGCACACGUUCCCGUACUGACUUGUUCUAGUGUUUAAGUCUGCCAUGCCUUUUUCUCCACACGGGAGACACUAUGUUGCCGAGGGGGAUGGGGUGGCGUGUUUUGUCUGUGCCUGUUAUCCUGUGACGAUUUUCAGGUAUCUGGUGGGCGUGGCAGAGGUGGUCUGUGCCAAUUGGUGACAACUGGCGCCGGUGUUCCCAGUGGGUACAAGAACGUGGUUUUUCCUGUGCAGUCUCCCUCCCUCCAACCUUGCUCUUUGACAAAGCUUAGAGCUGCUCGGGUGUUAACUCUACCAACUCAGUAAUGCUGCUAUAUGCCUAGACUGCUGGGGGAACUCCCAUCAUGCAUCUCUCCCUCUCUCUCACUCUCUCACCAACCGGUCUCAGCAGAUGGUUCUGGUUCUGUUAGAGAUUUCUUCCUGUUAAAAGAGUUUUUUCUCCUGCACAGUCUCAGAGCUGCUCAUCGCGGGAACUGUUGUGUUUCUCUGUAAUACUGUGAGGACUCGGCCUCACCAUGUAAAGAGCGUUGAGACGAUGAAUGAUGUGAUUUGGCGCUGU